rnacentral:lncRNA from 1 species
UUUGGUUUGGAUCGAGAAAGAGAAAAUACUGUAGGCUCGUGGUGAUUCGAGAGGGAGCAUUCGAUGGUCGAAGGUGUAGCAGUGAAUGGCGAUAUAGGAGGACAAGGUUUGGGUUUGGUGGGCAGAGGAUGGGGGAGAGGGAAUCCGAAGGUGGCGUGAGGAUAGCUUUAGGGUUUUGAGUGUUCUAUACGGAAGUUUAGAGGAGAGGGGAGUGUAGAGAACUAAACAAACUCACGUUGAAAAACCAAAGUGAAAGGGGGAGUCGAGAAUCGCGAGCGAAGAGUGUUCAGUGGAGAGUGAAAGCUGAUAGAAAAGAGGAACCAAAUCCUGGGGAGUUAACUGUGAGUUUGGCUAUUUUUAGUUAUUUUGCUAUUUGAAAAUCCCUGCUUUCCUUUAGUUUAUGAAGAGUGCAUAUGAACUAUAUUACUCUAAUAUUUGUCUUUAUAAAAUAUGCAUGGUGUAUUGGUACAAUGUGCUAUGUUUCAAUUUAAUUGGGGCCAGAGGAGGUCAUAUUCUGUUCGUGCUUUAAUUCCAUUCGAUUCUGUUGCUCAAAUGAGAAUUGCAAUGGUGCUGAAAAGGUGUAUUAUAGAGGUUUGCAAUUGUUUACUGAACUGGAAAUUACAAAUUAUAUUGUAAUUGUGUUUUAUGUAUGAUUGCAGGAACAAUAGGUGCAGAUAAGUAAGAUAUUCUUCUAGAAUAGAAAAUUCUUUUAAUGUUGUUGCUCAGUGUAAUGUAUGCGCCGAGUGACUUAUCUGUGACUCUUGUUGGCCGACUGUCUGGUGCUUUUGUAUUAAAUCGUAGUUGGUGCAUGUUUUCUUGGUCCUUAUGUAUUAGAUUCAAGAAGAGUAUAAACCAACACAUUUGUUUUCUGCGAGACAAUGUGUAACGUGUGAGAAGAACGUUGAUAUUGAAAGGGCAAAAUGAGCAGAAGAAAUAAGGGGAAAGGAGGAGUUAGUUGGAAACCCAGGACACUUGGCACCUGUUACAGGAAAUAAUGUCAGACAACAGCAUGUGAGGAAGAGAAAAGUGAGCACACGGUUGAAGGAUUUUCAGUGGGGAAAUAAGGGAUACAAAAGGAGAAUGUAGUGAGCCUCUAGAGAGGCGGACAAUGAUUGAAUAGUCUCAAUUUCUCUGGAUGUAUUUUUCUUCUAUUGUUGAAUGUUGGCAGAGGUAGCACGUUGUACCUUGUGAUUCCUUUCAAUUAAAAACCAAGAACUGACCCUUAGUCGGUGGGGUUCUGUAUCAAAGAAUGUGCAGUUUCAAUGAGAUGUCUAUUCUUUUUCUCUGCAAUGCCAUUUUGUUGUGGAGUGUGAGGAUAGAUUGACUGGUGUAAAAUUCCUUGGGAAAAUAAGAAAGAAGAAAAUGCUGCAGAGAAAUAUUCUUUAACAUUAUCACUUCGAAGAAAUUUAAUUGUCUUCCCAAAUUGGUUCUUAAUUUCAUUAAAAGAGGACUUGAACAUAGACACAAGUUGAGAUUUCUCUUUCAUUAAAUAAACCCAAGUACAUUGAGAGAAUUCAUCAAUAAAGGUUACAAAAUAAUUAAAACCAAACGAAGUAACACGACUAGGUCCCCAAAUAUCUGAGUGAAUGAUUUGAAAAGGAAAAUUACAUUGGGUCUCAGAUAUUUUAGGAUAGGAAGAUCUAACAUGUUUUCCUAAUUGACAAGACUCACAAUCUAAGACUUGAAUGUUUUUGAAACUUAGAACCAUCAUCUUCAAUUUGAACAAACUUGGAUGGCCCAGGCGAUCAUGCGAAAGUUUUGGGGAUGAUGUGGUAAAGCACGAAAGUGAAGAAUGAGGUUUUAAGAAAUAAAGUCCUUGAGACUCAUGUCCUUCUCUAAUCAGACGACUUGUCCCAUGUUCCUAUAUAACAAAGGAAUUAACAAUAAAGGUUAUGGAACAAUUUAAGGAACGAGUCAACUGACUCAAAGAGAUUAAAUUGUAUGGACAAUGGGGAAAAUAUAACAGAAUUUAAAUUUAGUGAAGGAGAUAAGGAGACUGUGCCAAUUCCCUUAGAUGUCACUUUUGAUCCAUUGGCAACGACAAUAAUAUGAGGAAUUUUUGGAGAAGACAUGGAAGAAAAUGAAGGAAUGUUACCAAAGAUAUGGUCUGAGGCACUUGAGUCAAGAAUCCAUGGACUAUGACCUUCCACAGAUUAAGUAGGUUGGCUGUAGGCACACUGGUCAUGGCAGAGGAUUGGCCAGGAUUAGAUGGUUUUCCAGACUUGUAUCUUAGAAAUUCUUCAUACUCUUCAUUUGAAAUUCUAGAUUCUAGAUCACUAGAUUUAGAAGCAUGAGCAACUUUGUCUGGAUAUCCAUGUAGAACAUAACAUUUGUCUCGAGUAUGGCCUAUUUUCUUACAAUAUGUGCAUUGAGGACGUAUACUACGACCACCACGUCCUCUGUUGCUUCUACCUCCUCCUCUUCCUUGUGGCAUUAUCUCAAUUGAAUUCUCAUCUUUCACCAAUGUAGGUACUCGAAGAAGUCAAGUAACCAAGCCAUCCAUUGAUGGGAUUUGAUCACCUGCUAGAACUUGAUCACGCACAUGAUCAUAAUCUGAGUGUAAACUUCUUAGAAUUAAGACC